GAAGGGGGCUAGCGUUGCUCGGAAUUACUGGGCGUAAAGGGAGCGUAGGCGGACAUUUAAGUCAGGGGUGAAAUCCCAGAGCUCAACUCUGGAACUGCCUUUGAUACUGGGUGUCUUGAGUGUGAUAGAGGUAUGUGGAACUCCGAGUGUAGAGGUGAAAUUCGUAGAUAUUCGGAAGAACACCAGUGGCGAAGGCGACAUACUGGAUCAUUACUGACGCUGAGGCUCGAAAGCGUGGGGAGCAAACAGGAUUAGAUACCCUGGUAGUCCACGCCGUAAACGAUGAUUGCUAGUUGUCGGGAAGUUUACUUCUCGGUGACGCAGCUAACGCAUUAAGCAAUCCGCCUGGGGAGU
rnacentral:rRNA from 1 species